rnacentral:rRNA from 1 species
UACAGAGGAGCUAAGCGUUGUCCGGAUUGACUGGGCGUAAAGCGCACGCAGGCGGGGGUGCGCGUGGGGUGUGAAAUCUGGCCGCUUAACGGCCAGGCGCCAUCCCAUACGGCACGCCUGGAGCCUUGCAGAGGUCGGUGGAAUUGCCGGUGUAGUGGUGAAAUGCGUAGAGAUCGGCAGGAACACCCAGGGGGAAACCAGCCGACUGGGCAAGUGCUGACGCUGAGGUGCGAGAGCGUGGGGAGCGAACCGG